CUGCGAAUGGCUCAUUAAAUCAGUUAUCGUUUAUUUGAUAGUACCUUACUACUUGGAUAACCGUGGUAAUUCUAGAGCUAAUACAUGCUAAAAACCUCGACUUCGGAAGGGGUGUAUUUAUUARAUAAAAAACCAAUGCCCUUCGGGGCUCCUUGGUGAUUCAUAAUAACUUAACGAAUCGCAUGGCCUUGUGCCGGCGAUGGUUCAUUCAAAUUUCUGCCCUAUCAACUUUCGAUGGUAGGAUAGUGGCCUACCAUGGUUUCAACGGGUAACGGGGAAUUAGGGUUCUAUUCCGGAGAGGGAGCCUGAGAAACGGCUACCACAUCCAAGGAAGGCAGCAGGCGCGCAAAUUACCCAAUCCCGACACGGGGAGGUAGUGACAAUAAAUACUGAUACAGGGCUCUUUUGGGUCUUGUAAUUGGAAUGAGUACAAUUUAAAUCCCUUAACGAGGAACAAUUGGAGGGCAAGUYUGGUGCCAGCAGCCGCGGUAAUUCCAGCUCCAAUAGCGUAUAUUAAAGUUGUUGCAGUUAAAAAGCUYGUAGUUGAACCUUGGGCCUGGCUGGCCGGUCCGCCUCACCGCGUGCACUGGUCCGGCCGGGCCUUUCCUUCUGGGGAGCCGCAUGCCCUUCACUGGGUGUGUCGGGGAACCAGGACUUUUACUUUGAAAAAAWUAGAGUGUUCAAAGCAGGCCUAUGCUCGAAUACAUUAGCAUGGAAUAAUAGAAUAGGACGUGUGGUUCUAUUUUGUUGGUUUCUAGGACCGCCGUAAUGAUUAAUAGGGAUAGUCGGGGGCAUCAGUAUUCAAUUGUCAGAGGUGAAAUUYUUGGAUUUAUUGAAGACUAACUACUGCGAAAGCAUUUGCCAAGGAUGUUUUCAUUAAUCAGUGAACGAAAGUUAGGGGAUCGAAGACGAUCAGAUACCGUCGUAGUCUUAACCAUAAACUAUGCCGACUAGGGAUCGGGCGAUGUUAUCUUUAUGACUCGCUCGGCACCUUACGAGAAAUCAAAGU
rnacentral:rRNA from 1 species